rnacentral:rRNA from 1 species
UACGUAGGGGGCAAGCGUUGUCCGGAAUCAUUGGGCGUAAAGCGCGUGUAGGCGGUUCAGGAAGUCUGCUGUGAAAGUCCAGGGCUCAACCCUGGGAUGCCGGUGGAUACUGCUGGGCUAGAGUGCGGAAGAGGCGAGUGGAAUUCCCGGUGUAGCGGUGAAAUGCGCAGAUAUCAGGAGGAACACCGGUGGCGAAGGCGGGUCUCUGGGCCGAUACUGACGCUGAGGAGCGAAAGCGUGGGGAGCGAACAGG